UACGGAGGGUGCAAGCGUUAUCCGGAUUCACUGGGUUUAAAGGGCGCGUAGGUGGGAUGGUAAGUCAGUGGUGAAAUCUCCGAGCUUAACUCGGAAACUGCCUUUGAUACUAUCAUUCUUGAAUAUUGUGGAGGUUAGCGGAAUAUGUCAUGUAGCGGUGAAAUGCUUAGAUAUGACAUAGAACACCAAUUGCGAAGGCAGCUGGCUACGCAUAUAUUGACACUGAGGCACGAAAGCGUGGGGAUCAAACAGG
rnacentral:rRNA from 1 species